rnacentral:rRNA from 1 species
AUGCCGCCGCUGCUCACCCUCUCCUCCUCGCCGGUGCUGCCGCCCAGGGCCCGGUUCAGGGUCUCGGCCUCCGCCGACGUCGGCGCCACCGGCCGAGCCGCCGCCGCCUCCAACGGCUUCCCGCCGUUCCUGCCCAGGGCGGUCGAGCGCAUCCGCGACGGCGCCGCCCUCCGCCUCGCCAAGCGAAUCGAGCGCGUGCCCGUCCAGACCGGCUUCUCGAAGAGCCCGAUACCGAGCAGCUGCGUGAGGCCACUCAAGCAGCAGCAGAGCGCCGAUCCGGUCGUGCUGCUCCACGGCUUCGACAGUUCUUGUUUAGAGUGGAGGUACACCUACCCUUUGCUGGAGGAUGCUGGGCUGGAGACUUGGGCUGUGGACAUUCUUGGAUGGGGCUUCUCUAAUUUAGAAACAAGGCCACCGUGUGAUAUCGUAUCUAAGCGCGAGCAUCUUUAUCAGUUCUGGAGAUCCUACAUCAAAAGGCCUAUGGUACUAGUUGGGCCUAGCCUGGGUGCUGCUGUUGCCAUUGAUUUCGCAGUCAACUAUCCGGAAGCGGUAUCAAAAUUAAUCUUCAUUGGUGCAAGUGUAUAUGCUGAGGGCACAAAAGAUAUGACCAGAAUGCCUAAAUUUGUUCCAUAUGCUGGGGUUUUUGUACUGAAGAGUCUUCCUCUGCGACUAUUCGCUACACGCUUGGCAUUUUAUAAAAUUCCAGAUGGAUUAUUUGAUUGGGUGCAGAUUGGCCGUCUACACUGCCUGCUUCCUUGGUGGGAAGAUGCUACGGUUAAUUUUAUGAUUACUGGAGGUUAUAAUGUCAUAAACCAAAUAAAGCAGGUAAAGCAAAAAUGCCUGGUCUUAUGGGGAGAGGAUGAUGGAAUUAUUAGCAAUAAGCAAGCAUAUCGGUUACAGCAGGAACUCCCCAGCGCAAUUUUAAGGCAGGUAGGGCAGUGCGGCCACAUUCCUCAUGUCGAGAAGCCGAGGGAGGCGGCAAAGCAUGUGCUCGACUUCCUCGAGGGCGAUAGCUUGGACAAGGCGGACCAGGCUUCUUCCCUAUCAUCAACUCUGGUAUCAACAUGA